GAAAUGCGAUAAGUAGUGUGAAUUGCUGAAUUCAGUGAAUCAUCGAAUCUUUGAACGCACAUUGCGCCCUUUGGUAUUCCUUAGGGCAUGCCUGUUCGAGCGUCAUCUAAUUCUUCAAGCUCCGCUUGGUGUUGGGCGCUUGUCCCGCCUUCGGCGUGGACUCGCCUUGAAAUCAUUGGCGGCCGUGUUAUAGGUCUACGAGCGCAGUACAACUCGCUGCUCUGGCAUCUAACUCACCCGGCGUCCAGCAAGUAAACCCAAAGAAUUGACCUCGGAUCAGGUAGGGAUAACCGCUGAACUUAAGC
rnacentral:misc_RNA from 1 species